rnacentral:rRNA from 1 species
CCUACGGGGGGCAGCAGUGGGGAAUAUUGCACAAUGGGGGAAACCCUGAUGCAGCGACGCCGCGUGAGUGAAGAAGUAUUUCGGUAUGAAAAGCUCUAUCAGCAGGGAAGAAAAUGACGGUCCCUGACUAAGAAGCCCCGGCUAACUACGUGCCAGCAGCCGCGGUAAUACGUAGGGGGCAAGCGUUAUCCGGAUUUACUGGGAGUAAAGGGCGCGUAGACGGCAGCGCAAGUCUGAAGUUAAAUCCCAUGGCUUAAACAUGGAACUGCUUUGGAAACGGUCCAGCUGGAGUGCAGGAGAGGUAAGGGGAAUGCCAGGGGGAGCGGUGAAAUGCGUAGAUAUCAGGAGGAACAC